rnacentral:lncRNA from 1 species
GUGAAAACAGCACAUUAAUUCAGGAUGGUUAUGAGUUCUUUACUGGACACUGAUUUCUGCUGUGCAGAGGUGUUUCAGUGCAGACUGUAGAUCUGUUUGGAAAAAGUGUGACUGAUGGUUUUUAACUUUGACAGCUUCCCUCACAUCUGUCUGACUGAACCUGAUGACUCUUCACCUCUGUGUCCUCUCACAGAGAGAAGAUGAUCCUGCUGCUCCUCAUCCUCACCUCCUCAGCAGCAGCACUUGAAGUGAAGGAGACACAGAGCUCCUAUCAGGCAGAGGAGAACCACAACAUCACACUGGAGUGGACGUUCCCCACAGACACUCAGACUAAGACUGAGGACAUUAGUGUCCUCUGUGAUCAUAUAACCAACCAGAAAGAAUCAGUCCUGUAUCUGGUCCAUGCUGGUGUUGAGCUCUCUGAGUCUGUGGAUGAAGGUUUUUCAGGAAGAGUCCAGAGUGACACAGACGCCCUCAGAGAAGGACGAAUCAGACUUCAUCUGUCCAGACUCAGGACUGAAGACUCUGGUCUGUAUGUGUGUGAUGUGAGGACAGCUUCUGGUUCUGGUUCUUCCAGCUGUGAGCUCACAGUCUCUGCAGCUGCUGCUCAGACACACACUGACAGACCAGCUCUGAGUCCAGCUCUGAGUCCACCUCUGAGUCCAGCUCUGAGACCAGCUCUGAGUCCACCAGCAGACACAGGAGGACAAUGGACAGUCCUCAUCAUUGGACUGACAGCAGCAGCAGGUCUCCUGGUUGUCUUUGUGGUUACAGUUUGUUUUCUUAUGAGACACAGAAAGAGAAACUAACAGCAGAGUCACUGUGUAGUUCUUUGCUGUUGUCUCUGAGUGAUGGACUGACUCUGUCCACAGCUCUUCCAGAGGUCGGCCAUGCUGUGUGUUGUUUCAGCUUCAUUACAGACUGAGACAGAUAUGUUAUUUAUU